GGUGAUAUGUUAUGUGGAAUAUGAUUGACUAUAUGUUAGAGUCAAAGCAUGCUUAUGUGUUACGUGGUAUCUGAUAAGUUUAAAGGGGUAUAUAAGUGGGUAUCGGUAUACGUGAUAUGUAUAUGCGAUAUAUUGUUUAGUGACUAUAGUAUUAUCUUAUUCUCGUAAAGGAUUUGGACGAGACGUGUACGCUCGAAGACGUCAGGAAGUCGAAAUGGUAUUGCAAAGCGAAUAAGGGAUGAAUCGAGUAAGCGAAGCGAAGAUGUACGGUAGAUAGAGUAUAGCCAGAGAUGGUCUAGAGACUAUGAGAUGCAUAGAUUGUGAAAGUGGAAAGAUGAGAUUGAGAUGUGAGACUGGAGUCAGAUUUAAGGCAAGUAUCCUAAACCUUUCUCUUGGAUAUAUUGCAAAUAUUCUGAUCCAUUCCUUUGGUAUAUGUUUCAAGUAUUCAUACCUUUCUUUUCAAUGUUCGAAAGUGCGAGUAUUCUGACCCAUUCUUUCUAAUCUUCAAGUUUCUAAAGAAUUUCCGUUUUACAAAUUAAUUCGAAGUUCAGAUUGUCAUUGAAGCAUGUGUUGCUCAGUGAUAGUUAGAGCUUUGAAUGAAUUGGGAUCUUCUUGAUUAUUCAACCCGCCAUUGUCAUGCUGGUUUAGCAGGCUAAAUUCAGUUGCUUAGCCGAUAAUGGAGGAUACUGAAUAGUUGAGGAUUUCCUGAACUGUGAUUUAUGAAAUGAUGGAUCAUGAUUUAUGAAUAGAUUAUUAUCAAAGUUUGAAUUGGAAUUAUUCUGUUGUUGAUGAUAUUUAUGAUGAUGUUCUGUUAAUUUACAUUGGCUUCUUGAAUUGAAUUAGAGAAUUGGAUUAUUGUUUUUAUAUAAACCUGUGGACCAGAUUCGUGGUCAUGUUAGGCCAAUGAGUGCCUUGGAUCCAGUGAUAGAGCAUGGCGGGGCCUGCUCGGGGUUAGUGCGGAACUGAUCAGCUGCCUAACCUUGGUUUUAAUUAAAAUGUGAUAGUCCAAUUCAAUAAUUCUUUGGAAAGAUUGAAUUUCUCAGUUUAAAUGCUGCAAGGUAUUGUAAAUCAUUCUAUACAAUACCAUGAACUCAUGAACUCAUGUUGAAUCCUUUUAUAUCUUGAACUCGUGAACUUCUAUUAUAUCAUUUCAGAACUAUCAUUGUUUAUUAUUACUUGCUGAGCAUUGUUGCUCACCCUUGCUAUUCCUUUCUAACCAUUUCAGAAAGGCUUAAAGAUGAGAUGAUUGAUUGAGAUUGUGAGUAAGGCUAAUGCUAGGCGAGGAGACAGAGUUGAGGAUCCAGUGGUCGAGGAGUGUUCAGGAAAGUUGAUGAGGUUGGUGCAAGCUGGAAUAGUUGACAGUGAUUCUUCUUAUCGAAGAUGAUCUGAUUUGGUAAGAGAUGUUGUGUAAUAAUAGUGGUAGAUUCUAAUUUCAAUACUGUAACCUGGAUGCGAUCCUGUUGCUUUUAGGGGGUUUAAAUGUUCUCUUUCGAAUCAUUUAUUAAAGUUUAAAUGUUCUCUUGAAAUUCUCCUAUUAUGGCUUUCAAGUUUGAAAUUCAGGUUUUGAAAUCAUUCGAUUUAUGUUCUCAUUCAAAUCUUUUAUUAAAUGUUUUCAGGUUUUAAAUUCUUUGAUUUCAUUAUAAAAAAAAAAAAAAAUUUAGGUUUUCGAAAGUGUUUUAAAAAGGUUUUUAUGUGGUGACGUCAGAAUCCAGGCCCCCGGAUUCCUGGACCGUCACAGUUGGUAUCAGAGCCACAGGUUAUAAGUAUUUGAAAUUAGAAUAUAGAUCAUAGUUAUAGGUUUUCUAGAGAAGAAUAUUGUGUGACCUCGUACAGAGGUAUUAUUAGACUAUUUAGAAAUAGUCUAGAGAUGUGAUAGAGGUAUAGAAUCUAGUUAGACGAUCAAGUUGAGUGUAUAAGGUUAGAGAGAUUUUGAUUCCUAAGUUAGACAUAUGAUUUCUAGUAUGUUGACUCAUUGAGAUGUUGAAUUGUGAGGAAGGUCAAGAUUAGACCUAGAUAGAAGAGUUUGAUAGUGAAUGAUUGAGUUAAGAAUGGUGAAGAUGCAGAGUUCAGAGUAUUCUGACUAUACUGCAUAGUUGAGAAUGGUCUAUGGUAUUGAUUUGAGAAUGAUAAAGAUGCAUGGUUCAUAGUAUGUUGACCAUGUCAGAUGUUUGGAAGAAGUAUAUUGUUUUUGUGAGAUAUUGAAGAAGGAGUGUAAGAUAUGAGUUAUGUUGGAUUAGAAGGGGGAUUUGUAGAUAGAGGUUGAUAGAUGAGAAGUGAAUGAUAAAAAGUAUGUGGAAUUGAGUGUAGUUAUUAGGGGAGAUGUCGGUGAGUAAUUUAGAACGUUAAUCCUCGACGACAACGCUUUAAGCUAAUCGGGACUUCAAACGACAUCAAGGUGGGCCCAUAACCCACAAGUUGAUGAUCCAGACAAUCGAAGAUACGCUACGUGUUGUGCUAUGGAAUUCAAAGGCAACUGGAUGAAACAUGAGAACGUGAACUAUUUGGGCCAGACUUAUUACGAACUAUAACGUCUACGAUGACAUCUUACGAGGCUAUUACGAGUCAACAUCGAUUGAUUAUCAAGAACGUUGAAAAGAAGACAUACGACGGACAAUGAUUUAUUGAAGCAGAGCGAAAAUCUGAGAAGACCUGGGCAAUACCUCUCUUCAACUAAAAGUUCUUUUGAUUCUUUUCUCAUUAGUGAGAUAUUAUCAUGAUAUCCUUUCGACCAAAGUUUCGAUAAAGGAGAUUUUCAAUUUCUCAAAUUCUAAGAUGAUAAUGAUAUUGAUUAUUGGUGUGAGUUAGUAUUGAAUCGGUGUAUGAUAAAGACGUGUUUAUGAAGAGACAGUGGAAUUCCUUGAUAUUAUUUGAUAUUCUUUGAUAUCCUUUGAUAUUCAUCCAUAUUCUUUGAUGUCCCUUAAUAUUCGUCGAUAUUCUUUGACACUCCUUGAUAUUCCUUGAUAUCUUUUUGAUAUUCCUUAAUAUAUUCCUCGAUAAUCCUUAACAUUCCUUGAUGCUCCUUGAGAUUUCUUGGAUUCUUUCCAUCUGAUUGGGAUGAACAACCCUAUGAAUAGGGGACACAAGGUAUACCUGUCUGUGUGAUAGGAGUUGGAUGGGACGCCAUCACUUGUGUGUGUUGUGAUUACAAGAAGGUUAACAACCUUUAGUAGUGUCUAAUAUGGACACGCAACAUUAAGUUCAUUUGAUCGUAUUGAUCUCCCAGUCACUCUUGUAUUCCAAUGUGACCUAUUUUGAAAAUAUCUUGUUCCUCCGAAAUUCCCAAAGAUUGAUUCUUGGGAAAUGAAGUUUGCAAUUGUGAAGGUGUUGAUUUUCCUAUUUCUUUAACUUUGAAGGUAUGCCAAAGUUGAUCAAAGGCGGAUGAGCAUGUGAUAUUAUGAAGCGUGUACCACGAUCUUAUAAAUGAUACGUUUUAGUUUCUUCGGAGGAUUCCGAGGACGGAAUCCUUAUAAGGGGGGUAGAAUGUAAUAUCCCAUAUUUUUAAAUUUAGAUUUGAUUGUUAUAAAUCUAUCUGUCUAAAUAUUAUUGUUGGCUUUAGUUGAAAAGUGAAUUGAUUAUGUGAAUAGUUUUAUAUGAUUAUACUUGUUUUGUGGAUUAAUAUGGAUUUUACAAAUAUUGCGUCCUCCUUCUUUCUCUGAUUCCGAGGACGGAAUCCCUAUAAGGAGGGUAGAUUGUAAUAACCCGGAUUUUAAAAAUAUCUUUAUUAAUAUUAUAAAUGAUUUUCUUAAAAAGUAAGGAAUAAGAUUUAAUAUUUUAUUCCAGUUUAAGGAGUUUUCAAGGUUUUAUAUUUAAACCCCGGGUUAUUGUGUUAUUGAUAAAUAAUUGUAUUUUCAAAAGUGAUUUUCAUAUAUUGUUUCGAAAAUUCUGUAUGAAUAUUAUGUGAAUAUAUGUGUGAUGUGAGUAAGUGGUAUUGGUGGAUUUGUUGGUUAAUUAAUUAUGGUUAAUUAUGAGUAUUAUAUGAUUAAUAUAUGAAUUUUUGUGAAUUUUAUAUUAUCUGGUUUAUUGCGUUAACUGCUCAUAUGUGUUCGUAUUUGAGAGAUUUCAAUUUCUAUAUGCUCAGGAGAAAAUAUAGUUUAUUUGGAUAUUUUCAUAUCGAUUUAUGGAAUGUUAGAUGAUUUUAUAAUCGAUUUACGGAUUUAAUUGCGUAUAUUUAUAUUUAUUUAUUAAUUAUUUGACUUCCGUAAAACCGUCCACUCGUAACGAGGUAGCAAAUUUUCUUCCCGGAAGUUUCAACAAAACUGACCUUUAGCCUAAUUUGAAUAUUCCGGACACUUUUCGUGUUUUGACUUUUUCGAUCCGGAGUACGGUUUUCCCCGGAGUCGGUCCGGCGGAGUUUUUCGGGUAUUUUAAUUGUUGAUAAUUAUCCAGUUUGUCUCGAUAAGCGUGAAACGAGAUAUUUUGAUUAUUAUAUUCAUCCUUAUCUUGUAAUAAUUGCAAUGGGACCCGCAGACCAAUAAUUGAGUUAAAAAGCCCCGUUUUGAUGAUUAUCUCGAAAACCAGUACCGAUUGGACCCCGCUUUAUUAAUAUAAAGCUAUUAAAUACGUAUUUUCAUGUCAUAAACGAUCCAAAGGGGUACCAAUUAUUUGUAAAUAUAAAUAGACCUUUCUAGAGCUUAUUUUCACCCGUAAAAUCAUUUCACCAGUUUCUCUGCACGAAUACCGAGAGAAACCGAGCGGUGUUCUUCGUGUUCUUCAUAAUCAAACGAAGAUUUGAAGGUGUUAUUGGAGUCAGAAUCAAGCGUGCGAAUAGUCAAAUCGAAGAUAUCGAAGAGUAGAACCCAAAUCAAUCAUCAAAAACAACAUGAGAUUCACAGGUAGGGA
rnacentral:lncRNA from 1 species